CCAAGUGAGCUCUCAGCUGUU
rnacentral:piRNA from 1 species